UCAGCAGCUCUUCAGCUGCACACACCUCGCACCCACACAGUAUUCCUCUGUGAGCCUCAUGACAGAGUCUGCUGUCUGAAUGUCAAGGACAAAAUCAGAAAGCUCCAAGAGAAGGGCCGCAGCACCUCAUGUGUAAGAGAGGUCAACAUAUGGUGCUGAGCUGUACGGUGUGUAUGUGUGUGUAUCCGCGUGAACGAGAGGGGAAAACACAUGAGCUGUUAAAACAGAGUCAGAAUUACAUUGGCAAGCAAGCAGGGAGUGUAUUACGCAUGUACAUUGGAUGAGUGGCCGAGCGCGUGUCCGCCUCAGUGCAGUGGCUGAUGUAAUUUACACUGUCACAACAAGAGGCCGGUCGCAGGAUGACAGGGGAGCAAGGGAGAGCAAGGCACAGUGAUGACUGACCUGUCAGCACUGAUCAUUUUGUUUGUCAUGUGCAGCUUGGUAAAAGACGAGAACCUGUAGAGCUGGAAGGAGACCUGGGCGAGAGUUUCUUCUGGCUGAUGGUCAUUCGCGGUGAGCGUGAUUCGGUCAAGCAGGACAUGUUAUUGAAUCAACAUCAUAUUAACAUGGAAGCCAGGGUCUAAAAUUAGAUCCUGCCAAGUAAGUAAGUAAAGGUCAAUGUUUGCAACAAUGUUAGUAGCAAUUUAGAUGGUGACUUUUCUUAAUUAUUUUAAACAAUGCCGGAGCACAUGAUAUGAUUCAGCAUGAUUAUCCAACUGUAAAUAUGUAUGUAAAUCUGAUGUUCCGCAUGCUUCAAUGGUCUUUUGAUUCAAACAGCUUAUGAUAACAGUGUUUUCAGAGCCUCUGAGCAACUCAGAUUGUGUUGACUUAAUACUGUGCAUGUGAAAGUGCAACACGGACAAAACAUCUUUCCAAGUUACAAAUGAGAAUGUUUAAAAAAAAAUCUGUUGUCAACAACAUAGAAGUACUCGAGAAUAUAAAUGUUUUCUUGCAGUUUACAGCGAAAUAAAAUCUCUAUGGUUUAAA